rnacentral:tRNA from 1 species
AGAAAGUANAUGCAAGAACUGCU